UCAGGGAAAGCCGAAAACCUGCAACCAAAAGAGUAGGCA
rfam:Pedobacter nyackensis strain DSM 19625 genome assembly, contig: Ga0070598_107